rnacentral:misc_RNA from 1 species
CAACCACAAGCUCAGCUUGGUCUUGGUGCCCCGUCCCCCGGGACGGCACCGAAAAAUAGCGGCACAGCUGCCCGGCUCCUAAGCGUAGUAACCAAACCUCGCUUCGGGUGCCCGGGCGGUCUUGCGGCCGGACAACCAACCAUUUUUUACAA